AUUGAACGCUGGCGGCAGGCCUAACACAUGCAAGUCGAAUGGUAACAGGAAACAGCUUGCUGUUUCGCUGACGAGUGGCGGACGGGUGAGUAAUGUCUGGGAAACUGCCUGAUGGAGGGGGAUAACUACUGGAAACGGUAGCUAAUACCGCAUAACGUCGCAAGACCAAAGAGGGGGACCUUCGGGCCUCUUGCCAUCAGAUGUGCCCAGAUGGGAUUAGCUAGUAGGUGGGGUAACGGCUCACCUAGGCGACGAUCCCUAGCUGGUCUGAGAGGAUGACCAGCCACACUGGAACUGAGACACGGUCCAGACUCCUACGGGAGGCAGCAGUGGGGAAUAUUGCACAAUGGGCGCAAGCCUGAUGCAGCCAUGCCGCGUGUAUGAAGAAGGCCUUCGGGUUGUAAAGUACUUUCAGCGGGGAGGAAGGGAGUAAAGUUAAUACCUUGGCUCAUUGACGUUACCCUCAGAAGAAGCACCGGCUAACUCCGUG
rnacentral:rRNA from 1 species